rnacentral:tRNA from 1 species
GUAGCUCAAUUGGUAGAGCAGCUGAUUUGUAAUCAGCCGGUUGCGGGUUCAAGUCCCAUC